CUAAUUUAGAUUUUAUUCUGGUAUUUCUCAAAUAUAAAAAGUCAAAAUUCUUACAUCAAUCUUUAAGGAAAAUCCAUGCAAGCAGGUCAAAAUGUGUACAACUUAAUUCCCUUCCCCCCCCUCCCCUACCCCCCCCCCCCCUUGCUUUCAGUUUUCACUUCACAAACCAUGCUGGUAAGUAAACCAAGUGUCUGCCCCUCAUGUUUCUUUUCACAGCAUUGUUAAUAGAACAAUGCUAGGCUAAGCCAGGGGUGCAGUAAGCACCAAAAUAAGAUUAUUCACUUGAACAGCCUCUCUGCAAUACCUCAGGAUUUCUUGUGUUGAAAGCACAUUCAUUUUGCUUAAUUCUGGCUCCAUGAGAUUUUAAACUUUAAGGCUCUUUUUCUUUGAUACCACCAUAAUGUAACUAAUGAGAAUCUCAAAACCUAUCAGCCAGGAAAAGCAGCAGUACAAAGUAGACUCUGACAAUUGCAGAUGACAACCUGUCUCUUCCCUUUUUCCUCUGGAGAACCAAAUUGGAUACAUUGUACCGAAUUUUUGGCAUGAGAAAAAUACCAAUUUUGCUUUGUUUGAAAUAGUUUUGGCCCAUCAAACUAGAGAUUCAUGUAAAAACAAAAUGCUUCUAACAUUUAUAUUGAUAAGUAGUAGAAAAAUUGUGGCCUUUCUAUUCCAACUUUAAAACUCUUUCUGUUGGGAGUUUAGUGUCAGAUUUCAUUAGUAUCAAAGCCAUACUGCCAUCCCUUUACUGCAGUUGUUCCCUGUAGCAAAACUGAAGUGUCUUCAAUUGACAUCUGCGAUACACAAAACAUUCUCUUUGAAAGGGAGUAGAAGUCAAAGCAAUAGAGCUUCAUUCUGAAGGUUGCAUAGAGACUGAAGAGAUUUGUACAACAAAUGCUGUUUAAAGAAAAAAAAAAUCUGUCUGGCACUACUGAACAGCUUAAAUGUGUGUGACCAAAAAUAUUUAUAGGCAAUCAACUCUGAGUUUGUUAGCAACGGCAAUACUGUACAUUUUACAUUAUUAUCAAAUACAUAAUUCAAGAGUUACAAAAUAAGAUCAUGCAUUACCACUAAAUCUCAUACAAGCUUGGAUUGAUUUCAUUCCAAGAAUCUGAAAAGGAGACAGAGCAUUUUUUUAAAUGAAUAAAAAUUCAAACUCUGCAUUCUGUUUUAGCUUUCAUGGAUUUGAUGUAAUCUUGUUACAAGAAAACCUAUACAAGUUUGCUCAAUUUAAAGUGUUAAAAUAACUACUGAACAAAAAAUGUGAGCAUUAAAGUGAUCAAAAAAGGGAGCUAAAUGGUUCAUUCUUUUAAAGGCAGCUUUGGAGCCAGAGGUCCCCUUCCACACCAUGAGUAUGAUUUUAAUAAAGAUUAGACAUUCAUUAUGCUCAACCCCUCCUUCUCCUGUUUCAUCUGGCAGAACAGUUUAGAGUAGUGAGCUGAGGAAAUGGUAUCCCAGUCUGGAACAGGAUCAGUGUAAAAUUAGGUGUAUUCAUGUGUGCACUACUGAAAUAGCAACGCUCCUUCCCUGGCCUCCCACCUCAUGGUUGAAAGGACGGACAAGCUGUUGGAAAUACUUCCACCUUUAGGUGCACCUAAACACUUGUGUGUUCUUUCCAGUUCUGGAAGUGACCUGGACUAGUGAUGGAAAGUAGUGUCUACCCACUGCUUCAGAAGUCUUUAGCUUUGUGGCUCAUGCCUCUUGUCAGUAGUAUUUAUGCCUCUUCAAAGAGAGCAGCAUUAAGAGAUCAGAUCAUCUAUCUCCCUAGUUUCACUGCAUUUACAUAUGGCACAAGAUUGUUUUUCAAGGAGUAACUUGUGGCAACAACAAUUUUUCCUAAAAAAGUGUAACAGCACAAAAAAAUUCAUAGCAGCACUUUACACAAUUUGUGUUAAAAAAGUAGAAGUUAACCAUUUGUGUAUUGAGUAACAAAAGGUUUAAAUUACAUUUAUUUUCCAUUUUACACUCACUAUUUACUAGUUGGACUAUUUACAAAGGUUCAAAUGUUGUAUAAGAGAAUGAGCUUUACCCAGAAUAAACUUCAAAUGUGAGGUAGUGGUCUACCUCGACCUGUUUUGGCUGGAUAUAAAGGAGGUACAGUUGGGUUUAAAUCCUAGAAAAAAAUUCUGAAGUAGGAUGUUCAUGUGAAUUAGACUGUGUUCUUGUAGAAGAAACCAUGCACACACACACACAUACAGAGAGAGUAAUCCUAUGGUAAAAACAUUAAGACCAAAAGUGGAUUUAGUUUUCAUCUUCUUGGAUGAAAAGCAAGAGAAAUAAUUAGAACAGGAAGUUGUCAGCUGUACCUCAUUUAUUCCAACUAUAUUUUUACCAAGAGGCCAGCUUUUAUUUGAAGAAGCUAUAGUAAUUGAUGUUUAAACAGAAGAACUGAAUGAUUUAAAAACUAACUUAAAAUUGGGGGUUUCAGCACUCCUUGUAAUAGGACAAAGGAGUAUUAUUUCUCUACUGGUGUAGUAGCUAUCAACACUCCUGUCCUAUAAGCACUGGAGGCAGCACUACUGGCUCCUGCGGGGCAAGGCACCUCAACACAUGCUUGCUAAUAGACACCUCUGCCACAUAAGUGUGCCCCUGGUUAAGUCUUACUUUCCUCCAAACAUUUUUAAAUUGCAGACUGCAGGAACACUAAAUGAGAUGUUUCUAAUUGAAGAUAGAAGUUUUUUGAACCUGCAGUGUAAUCACAACGUGAACAAAACAUGUAUUUAAGGUUAAAAGGAAAGGGGGGAAGAAAGAUCUACAAUGCUUUUCACACAAAUCUUCUGACAGCUCACUGGCUGACCAAGUGAUGAAACUACAGACUAGUGGAUAGUUUUGGUAGCUGCAAGACAAAGUUUUUGUUCUUGCCCUAGUUAUAUGUUACAUGAAGAUUGCAUAGGACAAGGCAACCUUUUGGAUAGCUGAGGCAAGCAGUGCUUAGUGUUGGUAUCCUUUGCUCUUGACAGGCUGAAUGUGGUUUAGUGCUUUAUGGUAUCACCCUUGUGCACCUCUGCCUUCAACACAUCCAUUUACCCAAAUACUGCCAGCUUAAGGGUCUUAGCACUUCAUCUGUGGAUACCAAAUAAGAGUUUAGUAUAAGACUAUUUGCUCAAGCAUUAACUACUGACUAAAACUCACAAGUUUUAAAUAAGCUGAACACCACUGAGAUGCAUAUUUUAUUUUAGCAGAUAUGUAAAUUUAUAAAUUUAUAUAGUCAAGUUUAUUUUUAUAGCCUAUUAAGGCAUCUUAAAAAUCCC
rnacentral:lncRNA from 1 species